rnacentral:rRNA from 1 species
UUUUCAUCAGACAAUCUGUGUGAGCACUGCAAAGUACGCUUCUUUAAGGUAAGGAGGUGAUCCAACCGCAGGUUCCCCUACGGUUACCUUGUUACGACUUCACCCCAGUCAUGAAUCACAAAGUGGUAAGCGCCCUCCCGAAGGUUAAGCUACCUACUUCUUUUGCAACCCACUCCCAUGGUGUGACGGGCGGUGUGUACAAGGCCCGGGAACGUAUUCACCGUGGCAUUCUGAUCCACGAUUACUAGCGAUUCCGACUUCAUGGAGUCGAGUUGCAGACUCCAAUCCGGACUACGACGCACUUUAUGAGGUCCGCUUGCUCUCGCGAGGUCGCUUCUCUUUGUAUGCGCCAUUGUAGCACGUGUGUAGCCCUGGUCGUAAGGGCCAUGAUGACUUGACGUCAUCCCCACCUUCCUCCAGUUUAUCACUGGCAGUCUCCUUUGAGUUCCCGGCCGGACCGCUGGCAACAAAGGAUAAGGGUUGCGCUCGUUGCGGGACUUAACCCAACAUUUCACAACACGAGCUGACGACAGCCAUGCAGCACCUGUCUCACGGUUCCCGAAGGCACAUUCUCAUCUCUGAAAACUUCCGUGGAUGUCAAGACCAGGUAAGGUUCUUCGCGUUGCAUCGAAUUAAACCACAUGCUCCACCGCUUGUGCGGGCCCCCGUCAAUUCAUUUGAGUUUUAACCUUGCGGCCGUACUCCCCAGGCGGUCUACUUAACGCGUUAGCUCCGGAAGCCACGCCUCAAGGGCACAACCUCCAAGUAGACAUCGUUUACGGCGUGGACUACCAGGGUAUCUAAUCCUGUUUGCUCCCCACGCUUUCGCACCUGAGCGUCAGUCUUUGUCCAGGGGGCCGCCUUCGCCACCGGUAUUCCUCCAGAUCUCUACGCAUUUCACCGCUACACCUGGAAUUCNNNNNNNNNNNNNNNNNNNNUGCCAGUUUCGAAUGCAGUUCCCAGGUUGAGCCCGGGGAUUUCACAUCCGACUUGACAGACCGCCUGCGUGCGCUUUACGCCCAGUAAUUCCGAUUAACGCUUGCACCCUCCGUAUUACCGCGGCUGCUGGCACGGAGUUAGCCGGUGCUUCUUCUGCGGGUAACGUCAAUUGCUGCGGUUAUUAACCACAACACCUUCCUCCCCGCUGAAAGUACUUUACAACCCGAAGGCCUUCUUCAUACACGCGGCAUGGCUGCAUCAGGCUUGCGCCCAUUGUGCAAUAUUCCCCACUGCUGCCUCCCGUAGGAGUCUGGACCGUGUCUCAGUUCCAGUGUGGCUGGUCAUCCUCUCAGACCAGCUAGGGAUCGUCGCCUUGGUGAGCCGUUACCUCACCAACAAGCUAAUCCCAUCUGGGCACAUCUGAUGGCAAGAGGCCCGAAGGUCCCCCUCUUUGGUCUUGCGACGUUAUGCGGUAUUAGCCACCGUUUCCAGUAGUUAUCCCCCUCCAUCAGGCAGUUUCCCAGACAUUACUCACCCGUCCGCCACUCGUCAGCAAAGCAGCAAGCUGCUUCCUGUUACCGUUCGACUUGCAUGUGUUAGGCCUGCCGCCAGCGUUCAAUCUGAGCCAUGAUCAAACUCUUCAAUUUAAAAGUUUGAUGCUCAAUGAAUUAAACUUCGUAAUGAAUUACGUGUUCACUCUUGAGACUUGGUAUUCAUUUUUCGUC